rnacentral:rRNA from 1 species
UACGUAGGGUGCAAGCGUUGUCCGGAAUUAUUGGGCGUAAAGGGUGCGUAGGUGGCGCCGUAAGUCGGGUGUGAAAUUUCGGAGCUUAACUCCGAAACUGCAUUCGAUACUGCGGUGCUUGAGGACUGGAGAGGAGACUGGAAUUCAUGGUGUAGCAGUGAAAAUGCGUAGAGAUCAUGAGGAAGACCAGUGGCGAAGGCGGGGUCUCUGGACAGUUCCUGACACUGAGGCACGAAAGGCCCAGGGGGAGCAAAACGGG